UACGGGGGGGGCAAGCGUUGUUCGGAAUUACUGGGCGUAAAGGGUUCGUAGGUAGUCAACUAAGUCAUACGUGAAAUCCCUCGGCUUAACCGGGGAACUGCGCCUGAUACUGGUUGACUUGAGUUUGGGAGAGGGACGCGGAAUUCCAGGUGUAGCGGUGAAAUGCGUAGAUAUCUGGAGGAACACCGGUGGCGAAGGCGGCGUCCUGGACCAAUACUGACACUGAGGAGCGAAAGCCAGGGGAGCAAACGGG
rnacentral:rRNA from 1 species